CCCUUAGAUGUUCUGGGCCGCACGCGCGCUACACUGUUCGACGCAGCGAGUCUUAACCUUGACCGAAAGGUUUGGGUAAUCUUCAGCAAAGUCGAACGUGAUGGGGAUCGAUCAUUGCAAUUAUUGAUCGUGAACGAGGAAUUCCUAGUAAGUACAAGUCAUCAGCUUGCGCUGAUUACGUCCCUGCCCUUUGUACACACCGCCCGUCGCUACUACCGAUUGAAUGGUUUAGUGAGAUCUCUGGAUUGACGCUGGCUAGGGGGCGACCCUUGGCCAGACUGCUCGAGAAACUGCUCAAACUUGAUCAUUUAGAGGAAGUAAAAGUCGUAACA
rnacentral:rRNA from 1 species